rnacentral:rRNA from 1 species
UACGUAGGGUGCGAGCGUUAAUCGGAAUUACUGGGCGUAAAGCGUGCGCAGGCGGCGCGUUAAGACAGGUGUGAAAGCCCCGAGCUUAACUUGGGAAUUGCGCUUGUGACUGGCGAGCUGGAGUGUGACAGAGGGAGGUGGAAUUCCACGUGUAGCAGUGAAAUGCGUAGAGAUGUGGAGGAACACCGAUGGCGAAGGCAGCCUCCUGGGCCAGCACUGACGCUCAUGCACGAAAGCGUGGAGAGCAAACAGG